UACGGAGGGUGCGAGCGUUGUCCGGAAUCACUGGGCGUAAAGGGCGCGUAGGCGGUGGGGUAAGCGUGUGGUGAAAGUCCGGGGCUCAACCCCGGAUCGGCCGUGCGAACUGCUUCACUUGAGCACUGUAGAGGCAGGUGGAAUUCCGGGUGUAGCGGUGGAAUGCGUAGAGAUCCGGAAGAACACCGGUGGCGAAGGCGGCCUGCUGGGCAGUGGCUGACGCUGAGGCGCGACAGCGUGGGGAGCAAACAGG
rnacentral:rRNA from 2 species